GGGAGGCAGCAGUGAGGAAUAUUGGUCAAUGGGCGCGAGCCUGAACCAGCCAAGUCGCGUGAGGGAUGACGGUCCUACGGAUUGUAAACCUCUUUUGCCGGGGAGCAAGCGUGCGUUCGUGAACGCGCGUCGAGAGUACCCGGAGAAAAAGCAUCGGCUAACUCCGUGCCAGCAGCCGCGGUAAUACGGAGGAUGCGAGCGUUAUCCGGAUUUAUUGGGUUUAAAGGGUGCGUAGGCGGGAUGCCAAGUCAGCGGUAAAAAUGCGGUGCUCAACGCCGUCGAGCCGUUGAAACUGGCGUUCUUGAGUGGGCGAGAAGUAUGCGGAAUGCGUGGUGUAGCGGUGAAAUGCAUAGAUAUCACGCAGAACUCCGAUUGCGAAGGCAGCAUACCGGCGCCCUACUGACGCUGAGGCACGAAAGCGUGGGUAUCGAACAGGAUUAGAUACCCUGGUAGUCCACGCAGUAAACGAUGAAUGCUAACUGUCCGGCUCGAAUGAGCGCUGG
rnacentral:rRNA from 1 species